rnacentral:rRNA from 1 species
GACGAACGCUGGCGGCGUGCUUAACACAUGCAAGUCGAACGGUGACGAGGAGCUUGCUCCUCUGAUCAGUGGCGAACGGGUGAGUAACACGUGAGCAACCUGCCCCAGACUCUGGGAUAACAGUUGGAAACAGCUGCUAAUACCGGAUACGAGACGGAGAGGCAUCUCUACCGUCUGGAAAGUUUUUCGGUCUGGGAUGGACUCGCGGCCUAUCAGCUAGUUGGUGAGGUAAUGGCUCACCAAGGCGACGACGGGUAGCCGGCCUGAGAGGGCGACCGGCCACACUGGGACUGAGACACGGCCCAGACUCCUACGGGAGGCAGCAGUGGGGAAUAUUGCACAAUGGGCGAAAGCCUGAUGCAGCGACGCCGCGUGAGGGAUGAAGGCCUUCGGGUUGUAAACCGUCUUUCUAGCA